CCGGCACUGGAGGUGGAAGCAGAGGCUGGGGAGAGGUUGAUUUGCUCUAGGAUGAUGGAGACUGUGGCAAUAGAUGCAGCAACUAUUGCAAAUGAUGCUUCUCCCACAUGAUGCAGACCCUGCAGUAGAUGCAGUGAGGACACUCUGGAAGCUCUGGAGUGACACCUUAUCCUAGCUCUGCACAUUCUGGGGAGGUAGCAGCGGGAGAUGACAGCAUGGCCCAAUAUCCAGUCAAAUAGCUUCCAGCGGAACCAGCCCACUCCCACCGAUGACCAUCCCUAGACCCAGCUUUGGAUACAGCGUGAACACUGAUCUCUGUCAGCCCCCCUCAAAAACUUUCCACUUCAUCAUAGUAAAUAAAGCCUGGCAGACUUGAGCAGUA